UGGGUUGUGGCUCAGUGGUAGAGCACUUACCUAGCACACACGAGGCACUGGGUUCGAUCCCCAGCACCACAU
rnacentral:tRNA from 1 species